GACACGUGGCUGUUGUUUUAUGGUUUGACCUCAGGGGGUAAUUCUAGUGUUUAGUUGCCUGGUGUCAAAGAUCUGUUUCUGGGUUUGCCUCUGGUAAGUUAUGGUUUAAGUAAAAAAAGAAAACAAAAGAAAAAAAAUAUAUAUUGGAUUUAUUUUGUAUUUUUUACUGUAUUGUAUCCUCCUAUAUUUAUGUCUUUGUAAAGCUUCUACAAUAUCUAAAUCGGUGAAUGUUGGUACGACGCGAUGGAGAAAAACAAAGUCAUAGCAUUUGAUAAGCUGAACAAAUCAGACGGAGGGGUGAUAUAUAUUUUUUUGUUUUUUGUUUUUCACAAUGAGGUUUUGGUGCAAAAUGUCACUUGCCGUUGUAUUUUGAGAACCGAUUUGUACGACUGGUGAUUGUUCCUCUAACGUAGGCGACGGGGUUUAGUCCAUCAUGUUUUGAACACAGGUUAUUAAACGCAGUAACAUUUACAUUAACUUGUGAUGCUAAGGGAGGAGCAAAACGGAGCCAUCGGGAGUAUAAAACUUAAGAAAUCCCCAGAAGAAGAUUGUCAUUUCUGUUCACAAAACCCCGGCUUUAGUAAAAAGAGCAUGGGUAUAGAUAGAAUGGUUUACGAGCAUGCGAAACGAGCCUUGAAUGUUUUAUCUCUGGGGGCCACUUUAGUCAGGAUGGACACGGUUGGUGAACGUGGAGCCGUCGCAUCCUGCCCGUCUCUCAUCCACAGCAGCCUCACUAGCAUGGACCUACCAGUGCAGCCUUGCAUCCGGAUAUGAAUAAGAACACUUUACUAAAGACCUUUUGUUAUUUUUGUUAACCGUUGGUCAUUUAAUGUUCCUUUUUUUAAAGUUCUCGUGAUUGAAUUCUGGCCUUUUACACGCUGUCGGCCCGGCUGCCCCAUUAAAGCAACGGUGUUCCCAUCACGGCCGAGCUACAGGUUCCAUGUGGCGUCUUCUUUGCUCGACUUGGUGAACAAAUGAAAGUUCUCCCAGCUAAUCGUCACUGCUCAGAGGUGAUGUUAUUUCACAAAGAUUAUAUAGACCAAACGUCUGAUGUUAACGCUAAAUGCACAAAGCAUUGUUGCCCAUCAUAUUACCCAAAGAGACCAACCGUGAAAUACUAUUGGACAUCUUCAAGUAGUGUAAAGUUUACUGGGGACAGAACUGAAUCUUCUUGGAUUAUUUGUAAUGCGUGGAAUGUCACCGUUACUCAAGUGAACAAUCUAAAUAUAAAUAUCAGACACACGGCAUAUUAUUUAGUAGUUUUCAGCUGCUCGG
ensembl:lncRNA